rnacentral:rRNA from 1 species
AGGAUUCCCCUAGUAACUGCGAGUGAAGCGGGAAAAGCUCAAAUUUAAAAUCUGGUGGUCUUUGGCCAUCCGAGUUGUAAUCUAGAGAAGUGUUACCCGCGUCGGACCGUGUACAAGUCUCCUGGAAUGGAGCGUCAUAGAGGGUGAGAAUCCCGUCUUUGACACGGACUACCGAGGCUUUGUGGUGCGCUCUCAAAGAGUCGAGUUGUUUGGGAAUGCAGCUCAAAAUGGGUGGUAAAUUCCAUCUAAAGCUAAAUAUUGGCGAGAGACCGAUAGCGAACAAGUACCGUGAGGGAAAGAUGAAAAGAACUUUGGAAAGAGAGUUAAACAGUACGUGAAAUUGCUGAAAGGGAAACGCUUGAAGUCAGUCGCGUUGGCCGGAAAUCAGCCUUGCUUUUGCAUGGUGUACUUUCUGGUUGACGGGCCAGCAUCAGUUUUGACCGGUGGAAAAAGUCUAGAGGAAGGUGGCAUCUUCGGAUGUGUUAUAGCCUCUGGUCGUAUACAUCGGUUGGGACUGAGGAACUCAGCACGCCGAAAGGCCGGGUCUUUGACCACGUUCGUGCUUAGGAUGCUGGCAUAAUGGCUUUAAUCGACCCGUCUUGAAACACGGACCAAGGAGUCUAACAUGCCUGCGAGUGUUUGGGUGAAAAACCCGAGCGCGUAAUGAAAGUGAAAGUUGAGAUCCCUGUCAUGGGGAGCAUCGACGCCCGGACCAGAAGUUUUCUGACGGCCCUGCGGUAGAGCAUGUAUGUUGGGACCCGAAAGAUGGUGAACUAUGCCUGAAUAGGGUGAAGCCAGAGGAAACUCUGGUGGAGGCUCGUAGCGAUUCUGACGUGCAAAUCGAUCGUCAAAUUUGGGUAUAGGGGCGAAAGACUAAUCGAACCAUCUAGUAGCUGGUCCUG